UACGAAGGGGGCUAGCGUUGUUCGGAAUUACUGGGCGUAAAGCGCACGUAGGCGGAUACUUAAGUCAGGGGUGAAAUCCCGGGGCUCAACCCCGGAACUGCCUUUGAUACUGGGUAUCUCGAGUCCGGAAGAGGUGAGUGGAACUCCUAGUGUAGAGGUGGAAUUCGUAGAUAUUAGGAAGAACACCAGUGGCGAAGGCGGCUCACUGGUCCGGUACUGACGCUGAGGUGCGAAAGCGUGGGGAGCAAACAGG
rnacentral:rRNA from 1 species